rnacentral:rRNA from 1 species
AGAGUUUGAUCAUGGCUCAGAUUGAACGCUGGCGGCAGGCCUAACACAUGCAAGUCGAGCGGCAGCGGGAGGAAGCUUGCUUCCUCGCCGGCGAGCGGCGGACGGGUGAGUAAUGUCUGGGGAUCUGCCCGAUGGAGGGGGAUAACCACUGGAAACGGUGGCUAAUACCGCAUAACGUCGCAAGACCAAAGUGGGGGACCUUCGGGCCUCACACCAUCGGAUGAACCCAGAUGGGAUUAGCUAGUAGGUGGGGUAAUGGCUCACCUAGGCGACGAUCCCUAGCUGGUCUGAGAGGAUGACCAGCCACACUGGAACUGAGACACGGUCCAGACUCCUACGGGAGGCAGCAGUGGGGAAUAUUGCACAAUGGGCGCAAGCCUGAUGCAGCCAUGCCGCGUGUGUGAAGAAGGCCUUCGGGUUGUAAAGCACUUUCAGCGAGGAGGAAGGUGGUGAGCUUAAUACGUUCAUCAAUUGACGUUACUCGCAGAAGAAGCACCGGCUAACUCCGUGCCAGCAGCCGCGGUAAUACGGAGGGUGCAAGCGUUAAUCGGAAUUACUGGGCGUAAAGCGCACGCAGGCGGUUUGUUAAGUCAGAUGUGAAAUCCCCGAGCUUAACUUGGGAACUGCAUUUGAAACUGGCAAGCUAGAGUCUCGUAGAGGGGGGUAGAAUUCCAGGUGUAGCGGUGAAAUGCGUAGAGAUCUGGAGGAAUACCGGUGGCGAAGGCGGCCCCUGGACGAAGACUGACGCUCAGGUGCGAAAGCGUGGGGAGCAAACAGGAUUAGAUACCCUGGUAGUCCACGCCGUAAACGAUGUCGAUUUGGAGGUUGUGCCCUUGAGGCGUGGCUUCCGGAGCUAACGCGUUAAAUCGACCGCCUGGGAGUACGGCCGCAAGGUUAAAACUCAAAUGAAUUGACGGGGCCCGCACAAGCGGUGGAGCAUGUGGUUUAAUUCGAUGCAACGCGAAGAACCUUACCUACUCUUGACAUCCAGAGAACUUUCCAGAGAUGGAUUGGUGCCUUCGGGAACUCUGAGACAGGUGCUGCAUGGCUGUCGUCAGCUCGUGUUGUGAAAUGUUGGGUUAAGUCCCGCAACGAGCGCAACCCUUAUCCUUUGUUGCCAGCGGUUAGGCCGGGAACUCAAAGGAGACUGCCAGUGAUAAACUGGAGGAAGGUGGGGAUGACGUCAAGUCAUCAUGGCCCUUACGAGUAGGGCUACACACGUGCUACAAUGGCGUAUACAAAGAGAAGCGAACCUGCGAAGGCAAGCGGACCUCAUAAAGUACGUCGUAGUCCGGAUUGGAGUCUGCAACUCGACUCCAUGAAGUCGGAAUCGCUAGUAAUCGUAGAUCAGAAUGCUACGGUGAAUACGUUCCCGGGCCUUGUACACACCGCCCGUCACACCAUGGGAGUGGGUUGCAAAAGAAGUAGGUAGCUUAACCUUCGGGAGGGCGCUUACCACUUUGUGAUUCAUGACUGGGGUGAAGUCGUAACAAGGUAACCGUAGGGAACCUGCGGUUGGAUCACCU